rnacentral:lncRNA from 10 species
AUUAUGCAUAUGUCUGGGAUUGAGGGGCCAAAACUAUAGCGAACUUGAAUGAAGUAUUAGGGCCAGUUGUCAGGUCAGGGUGGCAUCUUUUAUUUUAAGGUCCUCUAAAGUCAUUCUGCUUUAAAACACCCCUCAAACAUACCUUUAAACUUAAGAUCAUAGACAGACAUCUCAUCAACCAGUAAAACUUUCUAAAUACUACCUUGUCACAUCUAUUGUGUAGUUAUUUAACAGAUUAAAUAGAAGUCAUUUAAUAAGACUCCAAGUCUCAGUCUGCUUGACUAGUAGCAUAAACUCAGUCUAUUCUAUUUUAGAAUGUGGUGGAGAAAGAUGAUAGUUAUUAGAUUCCUUUGUCACAUCUUAUACAGUCCACUUGGGUUAAAGGUGGAACUGUCAAGAAAAACGCCUUUCUGGCACACAGUGAUAUGCAGAGCAGGACCAGCUGAAGUCAGAUGUGCAAGGAAAUCUGUGGUUGCUGAGCAGGAUGAAAAGUAUCCUGUUAGAAAGUGAGAUAGGUGUGUUUUUAUAUUGUCCUAAUGUGAACUCCUUAGUCUUGGUUCCAAAGGGAAGGGUACCUGAAAAUAAAUGUAUUUUUAUAGCUGAAAAAUCAAGAGUUUCUAGGAUAUUGUGUGAAUGUCAAAUGAUAAAUAUCUAGAAACUGAUUUCAUAUUAGUAUGUGUGGCUAUUUAAAGUAUAAUGACUUUGGUUUGGUUAUAUGAGUGACACAGAAUUUAAGGAGGCUUCAUGCCAUAGUUCAUAGUUUGCUCUAAUGGCUUGGUGGUAUCCCUGAACAGUCUACUUUUAGAAAUUAACAGUAAAUACACAAUCCAGCUGUAAUCUUACCCUCCACCAGGGGGAGCUUCAACAUCGGUUAAUACUUUUUUUUUUUUUGAGAUGGAGUCUCGCCCUGUCGCCCAGGCUAGAGUGCAAUGGCUCAGUCUCCGCUCACUGCAACCUCUGCCUCCCGGGUUCAAACAGUUGUGCCUCAGUCUUCCAAGUAGCUGGGAUUACAGGCACCCGCCACCACGCCCAGCUAAUUUUUGUAUUUUUAGUAGAGACGGGGUUUCAUCAUGUUGGCGAGGCUGGUCUUGAACUCCUGACUUCGUGAUCCGCCCCCCCCUCAGCCUCCCAAAGUGCUGGGAUUACAGGCGUGAGCCACCGCGCCUGGCCCGGUUAAUACUUUCAUAAGCAUUGAAGUAACUAUUUAAGUCCUAGUACAUAAACACUGUGUGGUUCACAAAAAGGCAUAGAGACAUUCUCUCAAGAGUUUACAAUCUAAUUGGGCAGGGAAGAUACUACAGUUCAUCAAAGAUAUGAAUAACACCCUAGUUUUCUGAACUGCAGCUGCAUGGGUAAUUAUCUUAAGAACUUUUGGCAAAAUAUGGAUGUUGGUGUGUUACUCUCUUCUCCCUACAACUCUGAACUAAUCUGUGUUUGGCACCUUGAUUUGCCAUCAUAAAUGGCCACCAUUUACUCCUCACUGAAAUAUUCUUCUUCUUUGAGGUUAUAAUGUACUUGGAAAAGUUAAUACUUAUAGAAAAUAAUGAUCUUUAUUACCAACUUUAUUAAAACAGGCUUGGAACAUUUUUCUCCAUAGAAGAAUAGUAAUAAGACAUUCUACAUUUCCUGGACAUGGCCAGUUUAAAAUAUUUUGCCCCAUUACCCUUGUAGAUACACAUGUAUUUGUCAGUUUAUGUGCCUCAGUUUUGUCUUAGGCACUGAGGGACAGAAAGAGAAAUAAGGAAUACCUUGGUAUUUUCCUUUGCAAGCAAUCACAGCAGAAUGCUAGAAAACAUAAAAUAUACUCUUAUAAAUUGUAUGUGUGUUGAAACCAAAGUGUGAAGAAAUUGUCAGGUAUUUGGAGGAGGAAAAUAAUUUGUAAAAUAACCUUUUUAAGAAUUUGGAUUUUGUACUUAUUUAAGGUGCUAAAUAUGUGUUAAAAUAUCCCCUCUUGAAUCAGCUCCAGGCUUAAAAGGGCAGAGUGGUUUGGAUUCUUGUCCAGGGUCUGGAAAGAGCUCAUCUUGCCGAGAGGGAAAUAAAUGUGAGCUUUGAGGCGGUCUAACUACCCAGCUUUUAGUAUUUAUGUUCCCCAAAAUGUAAAAACUGUAAGUUAUUCUUGAAAAUGUAGUCCAGACAUUUCUUUGAUCCUGGAUUUUACUGCAGUUUCAUCAUGGGUUUGUUGAAUGUGCAGUCCAUUUAUUGCCCUGUCUUGCUUAAAUAUUCUUGUUGAGAACAGCUGGAGGCUUUGACUGGGUUCCUAGUUCUGUUUUCUGGGAAGGCAACGUGGAUUCUGUUUUGUAGACAUUAAUGAGCUUUAAAUGGGAAUUGGGGAUGAUGUAUGUUCGUUGGGCAUGCUGAGAAGCGGCCUCCUGUGGUUCUGGGCCCAAGGUGUGACAUACAUUUCCCACUAAUUGCUUCUCUCAAGAAGCAAGAGAUUGGCUGUUCCUCUUGAGGAAAAACCUUAAUAAACCUUCCCAUUUU